rnacentral:rRNA from 1 species
GACGUAGGGGGCCAGCGUUGCUCGGAAUUACUGGGCGUAAAGGGUUCGUAGGCGGUGUGGCAAGUCGGGAGUGAAAUUUCUGGGCUUAACCCAGAGGCUGCUUCCGAAACUGCUGUGCUCGAGUGUGGGAGAGGCGCGUGGAAUUGCAGGUGUAGCGGUGAAAUGCGUAGAUAUCUGCAGGAACACCCGUGGCGAAAGCGGCGCGCUGGACCACUACUGACGCUGAGGAACGAAAGCUAGGGGAGCAAACAGG